rnacentral:lncRNA from 1 species
UUUUAAUCUUAUACGAAUUUCAUAUGAAAAAUGAGAAAAGCAUCCACUCAUCAUACAAAAGGGACACGAGUGAGUUUGGACUGAAAAAAAGAUGACAAAAAGGAAAAAGAACCCAGCCAAUAAUGCAGCAAAAUUCUAUUCUUUGACGGUCUUAUCCACUGGAAUAGUCAGAGCAGGAGCAUUCCACUUCUGAGCAUUAUGAUCCCCAAGCUCACAGAGUCUAACAACUUCUCCAAAGAGGGAGUUGGGUAUACGACUAUUCCAUCACUCCAGCUUGAAAUUAGCCACCCGAGGGCAUCACCUUUGCCAUCUUGAAGUUAUUAAAAGUAUCAGGACCUAAAGAACAAACUAUAAAAUACUGAAACACACCAUGCAAAUAUACGCACAUUACUCUGCUAAAUAUCGGAACCAAAGUAAUCUAUUUAGAGAAAAGGGGUGAGAGGUGGCCUUUUUACUAAUCUCCAAGAGUGCUUGUGAAUUAAUUCAAACCUGGUAAAAUCUUUCACUUGAAGGAAUCAAGGUUGUUAUGUUACGGGACCCUCCGUUAAAGAAACAGAGGCUUUGAAGGUACUGCCCUGUCUUCACAAGUUAUUUAUUCUUGGGAAGAGAACAUCAAAACUGCUCCAAUUCCUUUCAGAAAAAGUGCUUAUUUUAUAUGUUUUAUUUUGAGAACCAAUCUGCCAAAAUUACUUUAAUCUUCUGAAUCAUUCUUAAAAACUUUAAAGAAUUAAAUUCUCAAAUAUUCUCUUUGAAUAAGAAAAGAAAAUGAGGUGACAGUUCAAUGCGCCAUCAAGGAAC